rnacentral:rRNA from 1 species
UACAGCCAUAUCACCCUGCAGCCCAGUGAAGCUAAGCAGGGUUGAGCCUGGUCAAUACCUGGAUGGGAGACCUCCUGGGAAAACUAGGUUGCGGUUGGAA